rnacentral:rRNA from 1 species
AGAGUUUGAUCAUGGCUCAGGAUGAACGCUAGCUACAGGCUUAACACAUGCAAGUCGAGGGGAAACGACAUCGAAAGCUUGCUUUUGAUGGGCGUCGACCGGCGCACGGGUGAGUAACGCGUAUCCAACCUGCCCACCACUUGGGGAUAACCUUGCGAAAGUAAGACUAAUACCCAAUGACGUCUCUAGAAGACAUCUGAAGGAGAUUAAAGAUUUAUCGGUGAUGGAUGGGGAUGCGUCUGAUUAGCUUGGUUGGCGGGGUAACGCCCACAAGGCGACGAUCAGUAGGGGUUCUGAGAGGAAGGUCCCCCANAUUGGAACUGAGACACGGUCCAAACGUCCUACGGGAGCA